UACGAAGGGGGCUAGCGUUGUUCGGAAUUACUGGGCGUAAAGCGCACGUAGGCUGACUUUUAAGUCAGGGGUGAAAUCCCGGGGCUCAACCUCGGAACUGCCUUUGAUACUGGAAGUCUUGAGUCCGAGAGAGGUGAGUGGAACUCCGAGUGUAGAGGUGAAAUUCGUAGAUAUUCGGAAGAACACCAGUGGCGAAGGCGGCUCACUGGCUCGGUACUGACGCUGAGGUGCGAAAGCGUGGGGAGCAAAC
rnacentral:rRNA from 2 species